GGUAAUUAUGUGGUGAACUAUCAUCAUACUUCCUACUGAAUUCCAUCAUCAACUAUCCAUCAUACUUUUCUCAUGCUCGUGAAGAGCUCGUCAAACCAAUAUUGCAAAGGAUGCUGGCAUGCAGUCUUCUUGUCAUUUCGACUGAGCCUUUCAAGUAGCGUGAUUUUGAGUUGAAGAGUGAGCCUGCAACUAGAAUUGCAAAGAAUGCUGGCCCAAAAAAGAUCAUUCUUCGCAAGCUCAUCAUUGUGUGUAAGUUUGAAUGUGAUGGGAAGUGCAGCAUAUGCCUCACAACUGUGUUGAAAACGAUUGGAAACCACAAAUUCAGCAGUAUUCUUAUUAUUUCUACCUUGCCAGUCUCCACACUUUGACGUGAACCUCAACACCACUAUGCCUCAGACUACCAAGCCUGCCUCAUCAUCCGAAAAAUUGCUGGCCCUGCAAACUACCCAGUCUACGGACAUCAAGCCUAAGUAAAAAAAGGCCCUUCUUCACCUCGCCCGUCAUCGUUUCGCCCGUCGUCCCGUCAUCGCUUCGCCCGUCGUCCCGUCAUCGCUUUGCCCGUCGUCCCGUCAUCGCUUUGCCCGUCGUCCCGUCAUCGCUUCGCCUGUCACCGCUUCGCCCAUCGCCGCCUAAUG